GGGAGGAGAUGAACAUAUACAAAUCAAUUCAGAAUUAAUGGACUUAAAGAAAUGCUGAUGCUCUAACACAAGACAUCGUUUUCAAUUAGAAGAAAUUAAUACUUACAACUUAUCCCAUUCUGUGGUAUUGAAACAUUUUUAUUUUAAAACUUACAAUAUUUCUCCUUCUAUCUCCUCAAAGUUGUAAUUCCUCACUAUAGGUGUUUUAACUUAUAUGUUAAUCCUUUCAAAGAUAUUUCCUACUACCUUCAUUAUAAGCUACUUUAUGAAAGUUUAUAGAAUGAAAAAUGAAGAAAUGCUAGGUUGCUGUAAAUUAAUAAAGAGACUAGAAAUAUAAUAUAAAUUUAUAAUCCAUGGGGGAGUCAGAAGAGCUUAGAUGAAGGAACCAAGUUCUGUCUGCCUCAGGACCCCUUGCUUUUUAUUAACACAAAUUGUCCUAAGGCAAGGUAGAUAUACAUAUCAAAGGUUAAGAUUUAGUAUACAGAAGCAUUGUCAGUUUCCUUUGGCUGUUCAGGUGUUUGGCUAGCAGGAGGCACUAAUGUAGAUUAAAAUGCCCUCAGCAUUUAUUGUCUGGUAACAUGAAAUAAAAUAUAUGCAAAUCUUUAGGUCUGGGGAAAUGCCCUUCAGCCAUUCCAGUAGGUAAUAACAUGUAUUCAGCCCUGUUGAAUAUAGAAGCCUCAAGGUUCCAUCAACCUUUUGAUGAAACUUCUUGUAUUUAUGACAUGCUGGAAUUAGCUUCCGGCACUAGGUCCUAUCAAUCUCAAAGGGUGAGUAAUUAAAACUAUGCAAACUGCUAAGUUUACAAGUACAACUAAUAUAUCGGUAGUAGCUUUCUUGGGGGAACAAGGGGCAUUUUGCUGUCACAAAUGUGUAUUUUACUGUGAUAGUUACUGCAACAAAGCCAUGUUGAGAUGUAGAUGCUAGGCUCUCUAAAUUGCUGCAAACUAGCUUUUGCACUGCAUGAGUCAAAUUUGUGCCUCAAUAAAAUUACAAAUAACUGUACAUCAUACUUGGAAUAAUUGAAAGGCAGCACACAUUAAAUCUGAUUCAACAUAAUAUACUUUAAUCAAAACUCUAGCAAAGGCUAACAGAUUUGUAACAUUAGAACAAAUUUUCCUAUACUUCUAUUCUUUGCUUUUGUCUUUAGCAAGUAUCUAAGGAAUUAUUUGUUUUUCUAAAUUUUUUUAGCUUGAGUGCAAUUCAGUGCAGGUAAAAGAAACUUCCUGCUUGUUAAUACUUUGAUUCAUAAUUUGUGUGGGCAUUAGCAAGUACUUAAAAUAGGAGGAUGGAAGGAAAAGCUCAGAAAGCCCUUCUAUUUUAAAGGGUGAGAUUAUCUACUUUUUAAAGGAGAAAGUGACAAAAGUAUAUACUUACUUUUUUGAUAUGGAUAUGCCAACUGAUAUUGAUAGCAUGAGAAGGAAAGGAUGAAUGUUAAUCUAUUUUGGAAUUGCAGUCUUCUCUUGGCUUGGAUCAUAUCCAGUCACCACUAUGCAAUGAAUGAUGUGCACUAGGAAAGAUUAGGAUGGAUUUUUAAAGAUGUAUCUUACUUAUAAUUACCUUUGCAACAGUCAAAAGAUGUCUAAAUAGGAAUGUGUUCUGUAAACCUCAAGACCCUCUGUUGGUUAUUCCCGUACAUAUUUAUUUAUUUGCUAGUGAGACACUUAAAUAUAAUAUGGAUUCUUAUUUGCCAGGAUUUUUGGUGGUGCCUUAUGAAAAGUAUAACUUGAUUUCUUGUUUUUUGAGCAUGUUUUGCAUUUUUUGUUUUCUGAAAGAAUAUUACAUAUGAUUAUUUGCAUUACAUCCAAAAAAUAAAGAACAUUUUUAUGUGUGCUCAGGUUCCCCCCUAUUUUGUCAUUUACAUUGGUGGCAGCUCUGGUAACUGAGUAAAGGUAAAUUUUGGCAGUGAGUUAUUAGUGAUCCUGCGGAAUACUAGCAAGUAUAUGAGAGCCACUUUUAAUCUGUGCCAAAGCAGUUUCUAAUAUUGUAUUUGCUCUCUAUAAAAUAAAGAGCUGGCAUUAAAAUAA